rnacentral:rRNA from 1 species
CCAAACUGUUGCCUCGGCGGGAUCUCUGCCCCGGGUGCGUCGCAGCCCCGGACCAAGGCGCCCGCCGGAGGACCAACCAAAACUCUUUUUGUAUACCCCCUCGCGGGUUUUUUAUAAUCUGAGCCUUCUCGGCGCCUCUCGUAGGCGUUUCGAAAAUGAAUCAAAACUUUCAACAACGGAUCUCUUGGUUCUGGCAUCGAUGAAGAACGCAGCGAAAUGCGAUAAGUAAUGUGAAUUGCAGAAUUCAGUGAAUCAUCGAAUCUUUGAACGCACAUUGCGCCCGCCAGUAUUCUGGCGGGCAUGCCUGUCCGAGCGUCAUUUCAACCCUCGAACCCCUCCGGGGGGUCGGCGUUGGGGAUCGGCCCUGCCUUGGCGGUGGCCGUCUCCGAAAUACAGUGGCGGUCUCGCCGCAGCCUCUCCUGCGCAGUAGUUUGCACACUCGCAUCGGGAGCGCGGCGCGUCCACAGCCGUUAAACACCCAACUUCUGAAAUGUUGACCUCGGAUCAGGUAGGAAUACCCGCUGAACUUAAGCAUAUCAAUAAGCGGAGGAA